ACCAGGCGCGGUGACACAUACCUGUAGUCCUAGCUACUUGGGAGGCUUAGGUGGGAGGACCGCUUGAGCCCAGGAGUUCUGGGCUGUAGUGCGCUAUGCCGAUUGGGUGUCCGCACUAAGUUCGGCAUCAAUAUGGUGACCUCCCGGGAGCGGGGAACCACCAGGUUGCCUAAAGGAGGGCGAACCGGCCCAGGUUGGAAACGGAGCAGGUCAAACCUCCCGUGCUGAUCAGUAGUGGGAUCUCGCCUGUGAAUAGCCACUGCACUUCAGCCUGGGCAACAUAGCGAGACUACAUCUCU
rnacentral:SRP_RNA from 1 species